rnacentral:rRNA from 1 species
UGGGGAAUCUUCCGCAAUGGACGAAAGUCUGACGGAGCAACGCCGCGUGAGUGAUGAAGGAUUUCGGUCUGUAAAGCUCUGUUGUUUAUGACGAACGUGCAGUGUGUGAACAAUGCAUUGCAAUGACGGUAGUAAACGAGGAAGCCACGGCUAACUACGUGCCAGCAGCCGCGGUAAUACGUAGGUGGCAAGCGUUGUCCGGAAUUACUGGGUGUAAAGGGAGCGUAGGCGGGCAGGCAAGUCAGGCGUGAAAUAUAUCGGCUCAACCGGUAACGGCGCUUGAAACUGCAGGUCUUGAGUGAAGUAGAGGUUGGCGGAAUUCCUAGUGUAGCGGUGAAAUGCGUAGAUAUUAGGAGGAACACCAGUGGCGAAGGCGGCCAACUGGGCUUUUACUGACGCUGAGGCUCGAAAGUGUGGGGAGCAAACAGGAUUAGAUACCCUGGUAGUCCACACCGUAAACGAUGAUUACUAGGUGUGGGGGGACUGACCCCUUCCGUGCCGGAGUUAACACAAUAAGUAAUCCACCUGGGGAGUACGGCCGCAAGGUUGAAACUCAAAGGAAUUGACGGGGGCCCGCACAAGCAGUGGAGUAUGUGGUUUAAUUCGACGCAACGCGAAGAACCUUACCAGGUCUUGACAUCGUAUGCAUAGUGUAGAGAUACAUGAAGUCCUUCGGGACAUACAGACAGGUGGUGCAUGGUUGUCGUCAGCUCGUGUCGUGAGAUGUUGGGUUAAGUCCCGCAACGAGCGCAACCCUUGUAUUUAGUUGCUACGCAAGAGCACUCUAGAUAGACUGCCGUGGACAACACGGAGGAAGGUGGGGAUGACGUCAAAUCAUCAUGCCCCUUAUGACCUGGGCUACACACGUACUACAAUGGCAAUGGAACAGAGGGAAGCGACUCAGCGAUGAGAAGCAGAUCCCGAAAAAUUGUCUCAGUUCGGAUUGCAGGCUGCAACCCGCCUGCAUGAAGUCGGAAUUGCUAGUAAUCGCGAAUCAGAAUGUCGCGGUGAAUACGUUCCC